rnacentral:rRNA from 1 species
UACCUCAGUAACGGCGAGUGAAGCGGUAACAGCUCAAAUUUGAAAUCUGGCCUCACGGUCCGAGUUGUAAUUUGUAGAGGAUGCUUCGGGCGUGGUCCGGUCUAAGUUCCUUGGAACAGGACGUCAUAGAGGGUGAGAAUCCCGUAUGUGACCGGGUGCCGCUGUCCAUGUGAAGCUCCUUCGACGAGUCGAGUUGUUUGGGAAUGCAGCUCAAAAUGGGUGGUAAAUUUCAUCUAAAGCUAAAUAUUGGCCAGAGACCGAUAGCGCACAAGUAGAGUGAUCGAAAGACGAAAAGCACUUUGGAAAGAGAGUUAAACAGUACGUGAAAUUGUUGAAAGGGAAGCGCUUGCAACCAGACUUGCACGCGGUCGAUCAUCCUGCCUUCUGGCUGGUGCACUCGAUCGCGUUCAGGCCAGCAUCGGUUUUGGUGGUUGGAUAAAGGCUCUGGGAAUGUAGCUUCUCUCGGGGAGUGUUAUAGCCCAGGGUGCAAUGCAGCCUACCGGGACCGAGGACCGCGCUUCGGCUAGGAUGCUGGCGUAAUGGUUGUAAGCGACCCGUCUUGAAACACGGAC